rnacentral:rRNA from 1 species
UACGAAGGGGGCUAGCGUUGCUCGGAAUCACUGGGCGUAAAGCGCACGUAGGCGGAUUGUUAAGUCAGGGGUGAAAUCCUGGAGCUCAACUCCAGAACUGCCUUUGAUACUGAGGAUCUCGAGUCCGGGAGAGGUGAGUGGAACUGCGAGUGUAGAGGUGAAAUUCGUAGAUAUUCGCAAGAACACCAGUGGCGAAGGCGGCUCACUGGCCCGGUACUGACGCUGAGGUGCGAAAGCGUGGGGAGCGAACAGG